GGUCCCAUAGCUCAGUUGGUUAGAGCGUCGUACUAAUAUAUUCUCUCAUGGAAAUAUUAAGUAAAUGCGAAGGUCGAGAGUUCAACCCUCUCUGGGACCA